AAGAUCAUACUUUUAGGGAUCAUUUCUAUAGUGUGUAUCUUGACCGUUACGUCCAUGACCUGACGGUUUCGCAACUGCGAUGAUGCGACGUAGCCACCUGCUCUGAGCGUGAAACUUGUUCGCCUUCGAAGUGCAAGCUUCUAAAGCGGACAUUGAGGAGUGUUCCGUCGGCAGUCAUUGCUAACGGAGGAGCGGGAGGCCGUCUGAGCGGC